GUACUUUUCAUGCAUGUAAUGAAGUCUAUAAAUAGUCCUAAUUUUGAUGGCUUCAGAUUUGAUUCAUGGAGAAACACUUGACUUGCCUGACUUGUGUCACAACUCUUCAACUUGAUUGUAAUAUGAUGACUUGCUUUUAUUAAUGCACUAUAAAAUCACACUUACUCAUUCUCUCCUCCCUCUGGAAUUGAUAUGAUUUUCCUCGUGUUGAUAUGUUUUUCUGACCUGAUUUGUGCUCCCAUGGAUACAGCUGUCGUGGAGGAAGAGUGGGGGAAUGGAAAACAUGAUUCCUUUCUAUGCUUGGAGGCUCUGGAGCUGUGGGAGAGUACCCACUCAGAGGAGAGGAGCACGAACACAUUGAUCUUAUUUGGACAGGCUUUUGUCUGGGACAUAUCCAAACCCAAACAGCCAGGGGAAGUACCACAACAGGGUAGACGGAACUCGAUGGGACUGUGAACGUCGUCUGUGGUGACAAAGUCCUGUGCUUUGAACGUCCAACAUCCAUCCUGACUACUGCCAUGCGACUCCAGUGCGGUAAACAAAUGUAGCACUUCAUUAAUUCAAAUAAGCAUUGGCUGUGAACAUAAUCUUGGCAGUGAUUACGUUUGACGGCACAGUGUAAUUAGGAAAACUAUUUAGUACUUUAUACUUAGUGGAGCAUUAUAUGCAGGCACUCUCUCUAUUAUAGCUGUUUUGUGAUUGCUUAUUUGUGAUUUAGUAGAGUUUAGUAUUUCUAUGAUCAACUUACUGCUAACCAAGCCAGCUGUUAUAGCCUUCUGGAGUUUAUGUGUUGCUAAUAUAACAUUAAGUAACUGAAUUAUUGCUGGGCUAACUGUUGUGUAUUUUACCUUUUUAAGUCUUGUGGAUUAUUAUGCUGUACUUCCUUUGGCAUAAAGUAUCUAUAGUAACUAAUUUAAGUGCUAAUCCAUACUUUUGUGUGAAAUUAAUUUCUAUAAUACCUUUUGCCUAACUCUUGUUUAUGGAAUCUCACGGUUUUCUGAUUAAUAAUCACUAUUAUUGACGUUUUUGUCCAAUUCUGUUUUCUCAGUUUCAUAAUUGCUCCCAUUAAAAACCUUGGAGCCAAUCCACUGUCUAAUGGAAGUGUGUUUAGCUCGCUGCAUAGCCGUGCAUUUA
rnacentral:lncRNA from 15 species